rfam:Capsaspora owczarzaki ATCC 30864 unplaced genomic scaffold supercont2.15, whole genome shotgun sequence.
GGGCUGCUAGCUCAUUUGGUAGAGCGCGUCCUUCGCAAGGACGAGGCAGGGGGUUCGAUUCCCCCGCAGUCCA